AGGCAAUUGCUUCCAGCGUGCAUAACUCUAUUGCGAAAUCGGCUACAGUUUGAUUUCCCUGACGGAGAUUCCACAAUCUCUCGGCUACCUCAGCUGGGGAUUCUGAACGAUCGAAGGUUUGCUUAAAUUCAGUUAGGAAUCGUGAGAGCGGACCGCGCAGAAAACCGGUGUCAUGGCUCCUGGCUCAGCCCAAUCUAAAGCCUUGCCAUGGAGUAGCCCGAUAAUUAGAGCUGAAACAACUAAUCGAUUUAAUCGAUUAUAAUCGAUUAUUAAAAUAGUUAACAACUUUUUUAGUCAUCGAUUAGUUGUUUAAUAAUCAUAUUUUACCGCAUAAAGUCUAUUUUUACCACAAUCUGACAUCGGUUACAAGCUGUUAAAUUUGCCGCCAGUGUGUGGCAGUAAUGAGCCACUGAUCUACCAGUGGAGCCGUAGAAGAAGAAAUGAGCCAAUGAGUGCCCUCGGUUUUCAUGACGUAUCACGUUACUGACGCUCAUCUUGCUGUGAGAGAUGGCGGAACAAGAGGAAAUACGGAAGAAAAUAGAAGCGACAAAACUUUAGAGAAACCCCGGACAAAAACCUCACGAGUAUGGGAGCACUUCAGUCUAGAUGCCUUGAAAAGGCAAAAUAUGCAAAAACCAUCUAGCAUGGCACGGAAGCACGACGUCCCUAAGUGAACAUUUGAGACGAAAACGUGGGGGCUGAGGAAGAGCACCGCGGUCAAGUGAGCCGUCAUUUGGAAGAGCCAGCCCGAAAAAAACAAGCAACGAUGGACAACUACAUGGGGAACAAGACACUCACCCCCCAGCAAUUCAUACCACUUACAAACUCUAUUCUAAACAUGCUGGUAAAAGACAUGAGGCCACUAUCCAUGGUGGAAGGAGCAGGCUUCCAGCUAAUGCUAAAAAAUUAUUCUGGACUGAUAUUUUGCACUGUUUAGCUCAUUUUCUACUGCUGACUGUGUUCAUGUGCAAUAAAAUAGAUUGCAGUCAACUGCACAA